GUCCCCUUCGUCUAGAGGCCUAGGACGGUUCCCUCUCACGGAAUCAACGCGAGUUCGAAUCUCGCAGGGGACGCCA
rnacentral:tRNA from 1 species